UGCCCUAGCUAAUGUUAAGGUGGACAAUGUCUACUAGCCCGUUAUCUAGCUUGACUCCCAAGGAUAGGCUAAAGACAAUUUGUGUUAAAGUGUCACGGAGAUGGGAGUUUCGGGGAUUAAAUGAUGACGGCCCAUUACAACAUAUUGACCUUGUGCUUGUAGACGAACAGGGAAAUUCAAUCUAUGCUAAAAUCCCAGCAUCUGAGGCAGAAAGACACGCUUUGACACUCGAGCAGGGGAAAGUAUAUACUAUGAGUAGAUUUAUAGUUUGCAAUGCUAAAAACUACUGCAGAUCCCUACCAGGGCCAUUCAUGCUGGAAAUCACCUGCCACACACGCAUUAAUUCAGCUCGUGACUCUGGAUCAUUUCCAGAUUACAUGUACUUGGACUUCUUGUUGAAGUUAGUGAACCAGAAUUGGUUCACUUUACCAAUCAAACUAAUCCAAGCUUACGGAGGAACAUUACCAUAAGAAAUGAGCAAUAUGCAGAACUAAAAGUAUCUAUAUGGGGUCGUCGCGUGAGAGAUUUUAUGCCUGCUGAUUUGCUAUCAGAUACUGAGGGUAGCUCGACUGUAAUUUUACUAACUGGAUGCCUUGUAAAACUGUACCAAGGCGAUAACUACACUUCACCUUCUUCUUAGCUUUGUACCUAUAUUGUGCAUGUAUCAGAUUUCAUAUGCUCAGGUAUUAAUAUCUGUAUUUUUUUUCUUGCAAGUGCAGGCCAGCCUUACCUUAGUGGAAACUCUGCCUGUCACUGGUACUUUAACCCAAAUAUACCAGAGGUUGCUCAGUUGCUCCAAACCUUUCAAGGUAGCAAUGUAUCAAUAAGACGUGUUGGAGUUCCCCUGGAAGAAUCGAGUCAGCCACAACCUAGACCUCAUGCAGAGGCUAUGACUCUCCAUGAAAUGCAGAAUAUUGAUCCAUAUGAAUUUCCAGAGAAGGGAUGCACGUGCACUGUUACAAUUUCACGUUUGGUUGAUGAUCAUGGCUGGUGGUUCCCCUCAUGCAACUUAUGCAACAAGUCUUGCAAGGCUGAUGGCGCAGAUUACACAUGCUAUGAAUGUGGCACGACUAACAAGUUCACAUAUAAGUGCAAAUUAUGCUUCAUUGCUACCGAUGGAACUGAUGAGGCUGAAAUGAUAUGUUUCGGUGAAAUUGGUCGACGUAUAGUUGGAAAAUCCGUUGAAACAGUUAUGCGAGCUCCAAGAGGUCGUGAUAAUCUUCCACUAGAUAUUGCAGGCAUAGUUUCAUCUAAAUACACAUUUGCUGUUACUAUGAGUGAAAAAAGUCUGAGAAACCCAAAGUCCUACCAGAUUACAGCUAUUAUAACAGCUUUUGGAAAACAGAAAGCUCUUCCAUAAUUCCAUUUGCCAAAUCAAGUUAAGAAUUAUCAAACUGACUCGGCGGAGACUUCAAAUCCA